rnacentral:lncRNA from 1 species
AAUUUUUUAGGGUUUCAAAUUCCCCCUUUUCUUCAUCCAUCCCAAUCCCUCAUCAUUCUUCAUCUUCUUCAAUGGACAUUUUUCAUUUGAUCUCCAUCAUUCUUCUUCUUCGCAUAUCCUUUUUUUUUUCUUUCUCUUCUUCGUUUCACUUCUUCUUCACAGAACCUCUUCUUCUUCGUUCCUCUUCUUCGACGUUUCAUUAAAAAUCGAAACCAUCAUCCAAAUCAAAAUUCUGGAAAACGGCAUGGGUGAAAAUCUAGACUGAAAUUCAUCCAAAUCAAAAUCGAAAUCUAGACUGAAAUUCAUCCAAACCUUCGUCCAAAUCCAAUUUUAAAGAAGGGGAUGUUUGUAAUUGUGCUGCCUCUCAAUUUGUACCGAUAACAACAUAUUUGACUCCAAGAGAAUAUAUUAGAUUUGACAGGCUUCAAUUGUGAUUGUGGCCUGGAAAUGCAAUGAGAAGAUUAUGGAAUUAUGUCAAUGAAAGUUGGAUUUGCUGAAUGAGGUUUAUGUUGUUAUUGUUGCAGAUUCUAGAGAUGGAUAACUGUGGAUCUGAAAUAAUUUCUUGUUGUUGCUAUUGCUUCUCUCUUUGUGAUUUACUACAAGUGAAUUUCUCUAUUUAACAUGAAGAUGAGUUAGUGGAUGAAUUUGGGAUGAAUUUUUAGACUUUUCAUUAAAAUGAAAUUCUUAGUUUAAA